AUUGAACGCUGGCGGCAGGCUUAACACAUGCAAGUCGAACGAAGUGGCGAACGGGUGAGUAACGCGUAAUCAACCUGCCCUUCAGAGGGGGACAACAGUUGGAAACGACUGCUAAUACCGCAUAAUAAAGGCGGGGAUUGCGUCGGAUUAGCUAGUUGGAGGGGUAACGGCCCACCAAGGCGAUGAACAGGAGCCGUGCGGGGGGGAUGAACGGCCACAUUGGGACUGGUACACGGCCCAGACUCCUACGGGAGGCAGCAGUGGGGAAUCUUCCGCAAUGGACGAAAGUCGGACGGAGCAACGCCGCGUGAUUGAUGACGGCCUUCGGGUUGUAAAGCUCUGUUAAUCGGGACGCGGUACCGGAAUAGAAAGCCACGGCUAACUACGUGCCAGCAGCCGCGGUAAUAC
rnacentral:rRNA from 1 species